rnacentral:rRNA from 1 species
GACGAACGCUGGCGGCGUGCUUAACACAUGCAAGUCGAGCGGUAAGGCCCUUUCGGGGGGUACACGAGCGGCGAACGGGUGAGUAACACGUGGGUGACCUGCCCUCAGCUCUGGGAUAAGCCUGGGAAACUGGGUCUAAUACCGGAUAUGACUCCAUGACGCAUGUUGUGGGGUGGAAAGCCUUGUGCGGCUGAGGAUGGGCCCGCGGCCUAUCAGCUUGUUGGUGGGGNGAUGGCCUACCAAGGCGACGACGGGUAGCCGGCCUGAGAGGGCGACCGGCCACACUGGGACUGAGACACGGCCCAGACUCCUACGGGAGGCAGCAGUGGGGAAUCUUGCGCAAUGGGCGAAAGCCUGACGCAGCGACGCCGCGUGAGGGAUGACGGCCU